rnacentral:rRNA from 1 species
GACGAACGCUGGCGGCGCGCCUAACACAUGCAAGUCGAACGGAGUCAAGAGGAGCUUGUUCUUCUUGACUUAGUGGCGAACGGGUGAGUAACGCGUGAGUAACCUGCUCCGGAGUGGGGGACAACAGCUGGAAACGACUGCUAAUACUGCAUAAGACCACGGAUCCGCAUGGAUCUGCGGGAAAAGGAUUUAUUCGCUUCAGGAUGGACUCGCGUCCAAUUAGCUGGUUGGUGAGGUAACGGCCCACCAAGGCGACGACUGGUAGCCGGACUGUGAGAUUGAGCGGCCACAUUGAGACUGGGACGCGGCGCAGACUCCUGCGGGAGGCAGCAGUGGGUGAUAUUGCACAAUGGGGGGAGCCCUGAUGCAGCUACGCCGCGUAGAGGAAUAAGGUUUGCAGGUAGUAAACUCCGGUCGUUAGGGGCGGUAAUGACGGUACCUAACAAGAAAGCACCGGCUAACUACGUG